rnacentral:rRNA from 1 species
UACGUAGGGGCCGAGCGUUGUCCGGAGUUAUUGGGCGUAAAGCGCGCGCAGGCGGCUCAAUGCGCCCGACGUGAAAGCCCCCGGCUUAACCGGGGAGAGUCGUCGGGUACGGUUGAGCUUGAGGGCGGGAGAGGGUGGUGGAAUUCCCGGUGUAGUGGUGAAAUGCGUAGAGAUCGGGAGGAACACCUGUGGCGAAGGCGGCCACCUGGGCCGACCCUGACGCUGAGGCGCGAAGGCGUGGGGAGCGAACGGG